CACCAGAGGAGAUGAGGCUCCGCAAUGGCACCUUCCUGACCCUGCUGCUCUUCUGCCUGUGCGCCUUCCUCUCGCUGUCCUGGUACUCGGCGCUCAGCUGCCAGAAAGGCGACGUCGUGGACGUUUACCAGCGGGAGUUCCUGGAAUUGCAGGAUCGGCUGCACACAGCUAAGCAGGAGAGCCUCAAGUGCUCCAAGGAGCUCAACCUGGUGCUGGAUGAGAUCAAGAGGGCCGUUUUGGAGAGGCAGGUGCUGCGAGAGGGAGAGGCAAUCGCACCUGGGGCCGCCUAACAGAGGAUUCCCCCAUUGCAGCCGUGGAACGGCUCACACCAGUAGGUGCUACACCUGCCCACUGUCUUCCACCACCUACCACACCUGCUGGCCAAGGAGAAUGGUCUGCAGCCCGCGGUGCGCGUGGGCCAGGGCCGCACCGGAGUGUAGGUGGUGACAGGCAUCCUGAGCAUGGGGCGCGAGGUGCCUCUCAUACCUGUCUGACCCUCUGCACUGGCUCAUCCCUGAGCUGAGCCCACAGUAGAAGGAGGACUCAGUCAUUGUGGUGCUGAUUGCUGAGACUGACCCCCAGGACACUUCAGCAGUGACAGAGAACAUCAAGGCCUUGUUCCCCACCGGGAUCCAUUCCGGGCUCCUGGAGGUCAUCUGAUCCUCUUCCCACUUCUACCCUGACUUCUCCAGCUUCCGAGAGUCCUUUGGGGACCCCAAGGAGAGAGUCAGGUGGAGGACCAAACAGAACCUCCAUUACUGCUUCCUCGUGAUGUACGUGCAGUCCAAAGGCAUCUAUUACGUGCAGCUGGAGGACGACAUUGUGGCCAGGCCCAAUGACCUGAACACCAUGAAGAACUUGGCACUGCAGCAGCCUUCAGAGGACUGGAUGAUCCUGGAGUUCUCCCAGCUGGGCUUCACUGGGAAGAUGUUCAAGUCAGACCUGAGCUUGAUUGUAGAGUUCAUCCUCAUGUUAUACCGACACAAGUCCACCGACUGGCCCCUGGGCCAUAUUCUGUGGGUGAAAGUCUGCAGCCCCGAGAAGGAUGCGAAGCCCUGUGACCGGCAGAAAGCCAACCUGCGGAUCCGCUUCGAGUUGCCCCUAUUCCAGCGCGUGGGUACUCACUCCUCACUGGCUGGCAAGAUCCAGAAACUGAAGGACAAGGACUUUGGAAAGCGGGCACUGCGGAAGGAGCACGUGAGCUCACCAGCAGAGGUGGGCACAAGCCUGAAGACACACCAGCACUUCACCUGGGAGAAAGCCUACCUACGCGAGGACUUCUGGCCCUUCACCCUCGCCGCUGGGAACUUCAUCCGCUUCCAUUUCUUCCAGCCCUUGCGACUGGAGCAGUUUUUCUUCUGCAGUGGAAACAUUGAGCAACCAGAGGACAAGUUCUUCAAUACGCCUGUGGAGGUAUUGCUCUUUGAUAACCCUCAGUCGGAUAAGGAGGCCCUGCAGAAGGGCCUCGCCGCCACCCUCCGGUACCCUCGGAGCCCCAACGGCUACCUCCAGAUCGGCUCCUUCUACAAGGGAGUGGCAGAGGGAGAGGUGGGCCCAGCCUUCGGCCCUCUGGAAGCUCUGCGCCUCUCCAUCCAGACGGACUCCCCUGUGUGGGUGAUUCUGAGUGAGAGCUUCCUGAAAAAGGCCGAUUAAGUCGAGGGCCUCUGAGGGUACACUGUGGUCAGCCCUGAAGCCCACGUUUCCGGGGUAUUUCAUCACUGCCGUCCCCAGAGGGCCAGAUAUGUUGCCCUGCCCGAAGGGUUCUGCCUGGUGCCGGGCUCGGGCCGGCCUGAGAUCCGCCGCUGGCCCGGAGGCAGCAGGAGCUGGUGCUGUCCUGGGCCGUGGAGGAGGCAGGCGGCCCCCACACUGUGCCUGCAGCCCAGAACCAUUCGCACCUGGCCUGCCCCAGCCAGGUCAUUUUAGAAGAGCUUUUUCUUGGGUGCCCACAGUCUCUGGCCCAAACACUGGAAUGCAUAUACUACUUUAUGUGCUGUGUUUUUUAUUCUUGGAUACAUUUGAUUUUUUCACGUAAGUCCACAUACACUUCUGUAAGAGUGUGACUUGUAAUAAAGGAUUUAAAAAAAA